CCACCGCACCCGGCCGAUAUUACAAAAUCUCCUUCCUCUCCCCCUCCUCCUCCUCCCUCCCUCCCGCAUUAGUUUCCUGACACGAACCUGGCGGCUUAGGACAACACACACUUACUCUCUCACAGUUCCUGAGGCUGGAAGUCCAGAAGUCGGGGUGCUGGCAGGACGUGCUCUUCUGAAGCCUCCAGGGCAGGGCCAGCCGCAUGCCCGUCUCCUCGCUUGGGCACCUGCCAGCGGUCCCCGGCGGUCCCCGGCUCAUUGCUGCAUGGCUCCAACGUCCGCCUCUCCCACCAUGUGGCCUCCUCCUGGUGUCUCUGUGUCCAAAUCUCCCGCUCUGUCUAAGGAUAACAGUCACUGGUCAUGGGACCCAUCCUAAUCCAGGGUGACCUCGUAUUAACCUCAUCACAUCUGCAAAGACUAUUUCCAAGUCAAGCCACACUCCCAGCUGCUGGGGGCGGGACUUGAACAUAUUUUUUGUGGGGACACAAUUCCCCUCUCAGGUUUUAAGAUUUGUCUUUAUCAUUAAAGUUUUCAAAACUAA
rnacentral:lncRNA from 1 species